GACGAACGCUGGCGGCGUGCCUAAUACAUGCAAGUAGAACGCUGAAGGAGGAGCUUGCUUCUCUGGAUGAGUUGCGAACGGGUGAGUAACGCGUAGGUAACCUGCCUGGUAGCGGGGGAUAACUAUUGGAAACGAUAGCUAAUACCGCAUAACAGUAGAUAUCGCAUGAUAUCUACUUGAAAGGUGCAAUUGCAUCACUACCAGAUGGGCCUGCGUUGUAUUAGCUAGUUGGUGAGGUAACGGCUCACCAAGGCGACGAUACAUAGCCGACCUGAGAGGGUGAUCGGCCACACUGGGACUGAGACACGGCCCAGACUCCUACGGGAGGCAGCAGUAGGGAAUCUUCGGCAAUGGACGGAAGUCUGACCGAGCAACGCCGCGUGAGUGAAGAAGGUUUUCGGAUCGUAAAGCUCUGUUGUAAGAGAAGAACGAGUGUGAGAGUGGAAAGUUCACACUGUGACGGUAUCUUACCAGAAAGGGACGGCUAACUACGUG
rnacentral:rRNA from 1 species